rnacentral:misc_RNA from 1 species
GAUGAAGAACGUAGCGAAAUGCGAUACUUGGUGUGAAUUGCAGAAUCCCGUGAACCAUCGAGUCUUUGAACGCAAGUUGCGCCCGAAGCCAUUAGGCCGAGGGCAUGCCUGCCUGGCGUCACACGUCGUUGCCCCCCCAUCUACUCCUUCGGGAUUGCGGGGGGCGGAUGAUGGCCUCCCGUGCGCCUCGUCGCGCGGUUGGCAUAAAUGCCAAGUCCUCGGCGACGCACGCCACGACAAUCGGUGGUUGCGAAACCUCGGUUGCCCGUCGUGUGCGGUCGUCGCGCAUCGAGGGCUCGAAAAAAUUGCCGGGCUCCGGCUCGGCUUUCAACGCGACCCCAGGUCAGGCGGGGUUACCCGCUGAAUUUAAGCAUAUCAAUAAGCGGAGGA